GACCAAUGAUGAAACUGAUUCUGCCAUAUGAUAAAGGCUGAUUAUACUCCAAACCGUUCCAUUUAUUUUCUGAGGUA